rnacentral:rRNA from 1 species
GGAAUAUUGGACAAUGGGGGAAACCCUGAUCCAGCCAUGCCGCGUGUGUGAAGAAGGCCUUAGGGUUGUAAAGCACUUUCAGUGGGGAGAAAGGUUGUUCGCUUAAUACGUGAGCAAAUUGAUGUUACCCACAGAAGAAGCACCGGCUAACUCCGUUCCAGCAGCCGCGGUAAUACGUAGGGUGCAAGCGUUAAUCGGAAUUACUGGGCGUAAAGCGAACGUAGGCGGUUUGAUAAGCCAGCCGUGAAAGCCCCGGGCUCAACCUGGGAAUUGCGGUUGGAACUGUCAAGCUCGAGUACAGUAGAGGGGUGUGGAAUUUCAGGUGUAGCGGUGAAAUGCGUAGAUAUCUGAAGGAACAUCAGUGGCGAAGGCGACACCCUGGACUGAUACUGACGCUGAGGUGCGAAAGCGUGGGGAGCAAAC